rnacentral:rRNA from 1 species
CAAGCAGUGGGAGCACGCUUAGGCGUGUGACUGCGUACCUUUUGUAUAAUGGGUCAGCGACUUAUAUUCUGUAGCAAGGUUAACCGAAUAGGGGAGCCGAAGGGAAACCGAGUCUUAACUGGGCGUUAAGUUGCAGGGUAUAGACCCGAAACCCGGUGAUCUAGCCAUGGGCAGGUUGAAGGUUGGGUAACACUAACUGGAGGACCGAACCGACUAAUGUUGAAAAAUUAGCGGAUGACUUGUGGCUGGGGGUGAAAGGCCAAUCAAACCGGGAGAUAGCUGGUUCUCCCCGAAAGCUAUUUAGGUAGCGCCUCGUGAAUUCAUCUCCGGGGGUAGAGCACUGUUUCGGCAAGGGGGUCAUCCCGACUUACCAACCCGAUGCAAACUGCGAAUACCGGAGAAUGUUAUCACGGGAGACACACGGCGGGUGCUAACGUCCGUCGUGAAGAGGGAAACAACCCAGACCGCCAGCUAAGGUCCCAAAGUCAUGGUUAAGUGGGAAACGAUGUGGGAAGGCCCAGACAGCCAGGAUGUUGGCUUAGAAGCAGCCAUCAUUUAAAGAAAGCGUAAUAGCUCACUGGUCGAGUCGGCCUGCGCGGAAGAUGUAACGGGGCUAAACCAUGCACCGAAGCUGCGGCAGCGACGCUGAUGCGUUGUUGGGUAGGGGAGCGUUCUGUAAGCCUGCGAAGGUGUGCUGUGAGGCAUGCUGGAGGUAUCAGAAGUGCGAAUGCUGACAUAAGUAACGAUAAAGCGGGUGAAAAGCCCGCUCGCCGGAAGACCAAGGGUUCCUGUCCAACGUUAAUCGGGGCAGGGUGAGUCGACCCCUAAGGCGAGGCCGAAAGGCGUAGUCGAUGGGAAACAGGUUAAUAUUCCUGUACUUGGUGUUACUGCGAAGGGGGGACGGAGAAGGCUAUGUUGGCCGGGCGACGGUUGUCCCGGUUUAAGCGUGUAGGCUGGU